AUGAUUGGCUUCAUUGAAAACAACGUGUCAAAAUUGAGCCUUCUUUUGAAUGACAUUUCAAGGAAGAGCGAGGGCCUCAGCGGCCGGGUCCUGAGAAAACUCCCCUUUCUGGCUCAUGCGCCGUAUGUCCAGGCCCCCACCGUCACCAUAGAGGGGUUCCUCCAGGCCCUAUCUCUGGCAGUGGACAAGCAGUUUGAAGAGAGAAAGAAGCUUGCGGCUUACAUCUGAUCCUGGGCUUCCCCAUCUGGUGCUUUUCCCAUGGAGAACACACAACCAGUAAGUGAGGUGGCCCCACACAGCCGUCUCCCAGGGAAUCCCUUCUGCAAACCAAACGUUACUUAGACUGCAAGCUAGAAAGCCACCAAGGCCAGGCUUUGUUAAAAGAAGUGUAUUCUAUUUAUGUUGUCUUCCUUAUGUCACUCUUACCUAGAGCUGGAGUGCAGUGGUGCGAUCGCAGCUCACUGCAACCUCCGCCUCCUGGGUUCAAGCGAUUCUCGUGCCUCAGCUUCGUGAGUAGCUGGGAUUACAGGUGCCUGCCACCACACUUGGCUAAUUUUUGUAUUUUUUAGUAGAGGCAUGGUUUCACCAUGUUGGCAAGGCUGGUCUCGAACUUCUGGCCUCAAGUGAUCCAUCCACCUCUGCCUCCCAAAGAGCUGGGACUUAGGCAUGAGCCAUCAUGCCCAGCCUUCUUUUCAAUUUUAAAAUAAAUCCUGCAGUUUACAUUUCCACACACUGAUUCCACAGCCUAUUAAUGGGUUCAGCACUGCAAUGUAAAAAUUCUGCUUUGCUCAAUUCUUGUCAUUCAGCCAAAUCCUCAAAGAGAACUCGUAGGUCUCACUCCACUAGACAGAAUAUAAUAAUAAGUAAAAACUGAAACUUGGCCGGGCAUGGUGGCUCAUGCUUCUAAUUCCAACACUUUGGGAGGCUGAGGAGGGUGGAUCACCUGAGGUCAGGAGUUCGAGACCAGCCUGACCAACAUGGCGAAACCCUGUCUCUACUAAAAAUACAAAAAUUAGCCACGCAUGAUGGCACGUGCCUAUAAUCCCAGCUACUCAGGAGGCUGAGGCAGGAGAAUCACUUGAACCCGGAAGGCGGAGGUUGCAGUGAGCUGAGAUCACACCACUACACUCCAGCCUGGGUNA
rnacentral:lncRNA from 1 species